GCGCGAAACCUUUACAAUGCACGAAAGUGUGAUAGGGGGAUACUCAGUGCUUACGCCUCUGGUGUAGGCUUUUGUCGAUCGUAAAUAGAUCGGCGAAUAAGUGGUGGGCAAGACCGGUGCCAGCCGCCGCGGUAACCCCGGCGCCACAAGUGGUUAUCACGAUUAUUGGGCCUAAAGCGUUCGUAGCCGGUCUGGUAAAUCUCUUGUGAAAUUGUUCGGCUUAACCGGACAGCGUGCAGGAGACACUGCCAGACUCGAGACCGGGAGGCGCAUGAAGUAUGCCGUGGGGACUGGUAAAAUGGGAUAAUCCACGGUAGACUACCGAUGGCGAAGGCAUCAUGCGAGAACGGAUCUGACGGUGAGGAACGAAAGCCAGGGGAGCGAACCGGAUUAGAUACCCGUGUAGUCC
rnacentral:rRNA from 1 species